AGUCGAACGGCAGCGAGGAGAAGCUUGCUUCUCUGUCGGCGAGUGGCGAACGGGUGAGUAUAGCAUCGGAACGUGCCAAGUAGUGGGGGAUAACCAAACGAAAGUCUGGCUAAUACCGCGUAAGCUCCAAGGAGGAAAGUAGGGGACCUAAAUAAGGCCUUACGCUAUUUGAUCGGCCGAUGUCGGAUUAGCUAGUUGGUGGGGUAAUGGCUCACCAAGGCAAUGAUCCGUAGCGGGUCUGAGAGGACGAUCCGCCACACUGGGACUGAGACACGGCCCAGACUCCUACGGGAGGCAGCAGUGGGGAAUUUUGGACAAUGGGGGAAACCCUGAUCCAGCCAUGCCGCGUGUAUGAAGAAGGCCUUAGGGUUGUAAAGUACUUUUGUUAGGGAAGAAAAGCUAGUCUUUAAUAAAAAUUAGUGAUGACGGUACCUAAAGAAUAAGCACCGGCUAACUACGUGCCAGCAGCCGCGGUAAUACGUAGGGUGCAAGCGUUAAUCGGAAUUAUUGGGCGUAAAGCGAGUGCAGACGGUUACUUAAGCCAGAUGUGAAAUCCCCAAGCUUAACUUGGGACGUGCAUUUGGAACUGGGUGACUAGAGUGUGUCAGAGGGAGGUAGAAUUCCACAUGUAGCGGUGGAAUGCGUAGAGAUGUGGAGGAAUACCGAUGGCGAAGGCAGCCUCCUGGGAUAACACUGACGUUGAGGCU
rnacentral:rRNA from 1 species